GGGCCCGCACAAGCAGCGGAGCAUGUGGUUUAAUUCGAAGCAACGCGAAGAACCUUACCAGGGCUUGACAUCCCGAUGACCGGUACAGAGAUGUACCUUCCCUUCGGGGCAUCGGAGACAGGUGGUGCAUGGUUGUCGUCAGCUCGUGUCGUGAGAUGUUGGGUUAAGUCCCGCAACGAGCGCAACCCUUGCCUUUAGUUGCCAGCAUUAAGUUGGGGACUCUAAAGGGACUGCCGGCGACAAGUCGGAGGAAGGUGGGG
rnacentral:rRNA from 1 species